rnacentral:tRNA from 1 species
GUCGGGGUGACUGGAGAUGGCGCCAGCACGGCCUCAUAAGCCGGAAAACGUGGGUUCGAGUCCCACCCCCGAAACCA